AAAGGCUGGAACAACAAAUGAAUACAGGAAUGAUGCUAAUAUAAAAAUACAAACCCUAAAUUUUCUUUAUAUAUUUUGAGGGUAAGCUAGUUUCAGAUUUUUCUCUAAGGUUUUGUAGGAAGAGAAAAAUUGGUCACACUAACGCCAUUUUAAAAUAUGCCCCCAUCUGUAAGAGGCAGAGCCACCUGAGGUGAAAAGGUAAACGGCUUGUGUAAGAUUUGGCUGAAAGUCCAGAAAUUAACUCAAGUCCUGGAACAUGUCCUGGGACACUCCCCCGGAACGAUUGUUCAAGUCCUGGAGUACGUUUCGGAACGCUGCUCCCGGAACACCGCUCCUGGAGCGAUUGUUUCAAUGUUGCUUGCUCGGAAUGGCCCUCCUGAGCAAACAACAGACGGUGCUCAAAGUAACAACUGGACUUAAUAAAAGGAGCUUACACGAAGGAGGAGCUGAAGGCUGCUGUGGUCGUGUGCUGGGGGCUGCCCCAGCUCCAGCUGCAGGACCCCGGCCGUCUGCCUUCCGACUCCGGUGAUGAUUCUUCCUGCGGUCUGAUCAAGAUUCUAUGCAGUUAACUUUGUAUCCAAGGAUCUAUAGCCAAGAAAUUUGGAGCUCAGUUUCAAACAUGAACCAGAGUUAAGCGGGCCCUCCAUUUCCUGGCCACACAUUGUCAAUGUGGAAGAUCUCUGGCCAUGAGUUAAAGGUCACCCACGAUACCAAAUUGCAAAUUGUGUUGAGAAUGGAGAGCAUUUGCAAAGCUGGAAUGAAUACACAAAACAUGUUUAUUUACAUCACUCAGGGUCACAAUUGGCUUCAAUGUAUAGCCUCGCCAAGCAUUACAGCAGAGAAGCUUUUGUGCAAAGUGAGCGGAGCACCAGAAGAAAUCUUAAAAGUUUGAGAAGAAAAUAUGGUAAAUAACUAAGAGAAAUCUCUGGUCAAUACUCAACAAGUCCUUCAGUCCAACAAUAUUCCAUACAUGAAAUCCUGCCAAAAACCAGGUGCUGUAUGAGUGAGCUGUGGCUGCCAUAGCAAGACAUCAUAGAUUGGAUGGCUUAAACAACAGAAAUUUAUUUUUUCACAGUUCUGGAGGCCAGAAAUCCCCAAUAAAGGUACUGACUGAUUAGGUGAGGGCUUUAUUUCUGCUGACAGACAACCACCUUCUUGUUGAGUUUUUAUACGGUCUUUUCUCUGUGGCUCAUAGAGAGAGACAGAGAGAGCUCUGGUGUUUUUUCCUCUUCUUAUUAGGACACCAGUCCUGUAUCACUAAGGCUCCAUCCUGAUGAUUCCACUUAGCCAGUAACUAUGGGAAUUAGGGCUUCAACAUACAAAUUUAGAGAAAUGUGAUUCCGUUCAUAACAGGUGCUUAACUAGAAUUCUGUAUGCACAUUGUUUUAUGAAAAAGCGACAUGAAACCUAAGGAUUUACUGUCUGUUGUAGAAUUUCUCAUAUAAAGAAGAACCUGAGGCAAGUACAGAAAUGUUACCUCCCUACCUUCUCAUUGGAAAGCAGCUCACAGAGAAUACAAUAGUUCUACCCACUAUGCCCGUAUAAUGCAAUGAUAUAUAUCCGUCACUAAAAUCUCCAUGCUUGUCUCACCCAACGUCUCAAACUAUGCUAUAACUAUUGGCGGAUCUCACAUAAUUGAGCAAUCUGAAUGAUGGAAUUGUACACUAGUUGAAUACAGGAGAUACUAUUUUACAUAGCACAGCAAAGCUCUCCCAUAACUCUACAAAUAGGGCUGAAAAAAUCAAAUACGUAAAAUGCAGCGUCAUGUUAUUGCAUGGUUAAUAAAAUUACUGACUCUUCUCAGCUAUCUGAGUGUUUUAGGUUCCUGAGAGCCAAGUCAGUCAUGUCAUUUCCGAAUUUUGGUGAUCAAAGGGUGGAUGAUCACAGUUUUACUCCAUUUCAACUUGAUUAUUAGUUACAUUAAAAAAAGGUUUUUCUAUGUGUGCUGUGAGACUGAUUCUCAUUUAGUAUGGUUUCAUUAAAAAUUAGGAUCCCUUUUUCCCUCUUGGUUAAGCCAGUAAGAUUGUAGAUUGUCAGACUCUGCCUUGUUCUUUUCCUGAAAUCCAAAGGUAAAAUGCAGUAACGAGAGUAGGGAUGCCAAUAAUGUGGAGGCAAGGAAAAAGCAGCUCCAGGGACAACAUCGGGAAGCGCGAUAGGAUGUUGGCUAAAAAGCUUGCUUUUUCACGUUAUGUCAGAUUUCACAUUCUAACUUCAUCAUUUCCUGGUUAAAGCAUCUUGAACAAAUCACUUUUUGAAUCACUUAGCACCAUGGCUUCUACAUUUCAAGCCCCAAAGGGUAGGAAUUAUUAUUAUUAAUGCUAUUACCAAAGAUGCUAACAAAGGAAAGGGUUUUCACUGUCCAACAUGGUUCAUGUUUAUGAAAUAUUUAUAAAUGGUGCUCACAUUCAAGAGCAAGCCUGUAGAGAUCUUUGGGCAAAUGCCUUGUUAAAGAGAAUUAAUCUAAAUAUUGUUUGUCAUUUGCUCAAGUACACUAAUUCUAUUAGUCUCAACUAUUCAAGGAUAAUCAUUGAAGGCCUAACUCCACAGGAACUGGAUUGAAGAUAAGAUUGGAGGACCACAAUUUCACCAGUACGUUACUUAGAAUAAGCAACUAGGUCCUCACAACAAUCCCUAUUUUCCAGAUGAGAGUGUUGAGGCUCAGAGAGGUAAGCAAAUUGUUUAACUUAUUCCAGCUCUCAAG
rnacentral:lncRNA from 10 species